ensembl:lncRNA
AUUACUUUAGCCUUCACUUCCAGGCAGCUCCUACCUAAUGCCGAAAUGCAUGUUUUCCAGUAAGACCACCACUGUUCACUACUGUUGCUAAGUCAAAGGAAUAACAGGCUUGUAGAUCAUUUACGACUUAAUUUAAAGGUUUAGCCCCCAGAGAGAACGCAAGAGAGGGAGAGAGAGGGAGUGUAAUGAAAUAAAACAGAUUUUAUGCUAAUUGCGUCCGUGCACGAUAAAGUGCACUAGGUCCAUUUAGCUUAUUGAUUGAGAGGGAGCUGUGGAGCAGCCGUCAGUCAGUUCAGCCCGCCACUGGGGAACAGGAAGAGUAACGCCGUCAGGAAUACAGUGUGCUCGGAUGAUCAUGAUUCGGGUUCUCUACAGUCAGUGGGUCUUCAUGGUGUCUGUGGAUGCCAAAAUGAAGAAAGGCUUUAGCACAUUCCUAAGGGGUUUUGAACUUUGAAUCCGGCGCGUAAUCGUAUUCUGUUCCACUGGCCUAGAGCUGUGGGUUAUUACCUUUCCAGUUCUUACAUUAUCAGGAACAAACAGGACAAAAAGAGCACAGAGUAUGGGACAUGAUGGAACAAAAUGAGACAAGAGGUUGGCACUCUAUCCAGGGUGUCCCCUGCCUUGUGCCUCGAGUUCCCUGGGAUAGGCUCCAAGCUUCCUGCAACCCUGUGUAGGAUAAGGGGGAGAACACUAACUCCAGGAUCUCAGCCUGUCUGUGAUGAUUUAUGAUUGUACAGGGGUGAAAUGUCUAUUCAAUCUUACUGCCCCUAGUGGGACAUAGUGUCUGUGUUUCUCUGACCAGCAAGUGAAAGUCUGGCUUACAGUAAUUCUCUCUCUCUCUCUCUCUCUCUCUCUCUCUCUCUCUCUCUGUCUCUCUGUGUGUGUGUGUGUGUGUGUGUGUGUGUGUGUGUGUGUGUGUGUGUGUGUGUGUGUUUAUUUGAGAGUCUGGCCAUAUGUUCUCUCUUCUCCAGGAGGCAAAUGGAUGUUAGAAUGGAGGUAAGGAUGGCCAUCCAUAAAGUCCUACAUACUGUAUGAGCUGAUCCAACCUGACCUUUUUAAUGAGCUCCAGAUGGCUGCAAAACCUCCAACAGAACCUGCAUCAGCUCUUACCUGGCCUGUAUGAUGUGUGUGUGUGUGUGUGUGUGUGUGUGUGUGUGUGUGUGUGUGUGUGUGUGUGUGUGUGUGUGUGUGUUUUCCUACAUGGGUGUAAACUGACUGAAUCCAGGCUGCAGGUGUAGUGUGUCAUGGCUAAGAUCUGUGUCCAGAGGGGGGAAAAAAACAAAGUUUCAAACAAAGUGCCCUUUGCCCUCACUCCACUCUGUGCCUCUCCCUGACUUGAUCAGUGAAACUUACCAUUAUAGCUGCACCUCCAACACUCUACUCUCUCUAAUCCAUUUCUCUAAACAUUUUAGCUCAUAUUCCUUCUGAUCUUAGCCCAUUUUCUGAGUCUUACUUAGCAGGAUUUCCUUGGUUAUGGGUAGCAUGAUCAGUAAUGUGAAAAGCAUGUGUGUAUGUAUGUGGAUAUAAUUUUAUACAUGAAGCUGCAGGUAUGUGUCAUCCACAUUUACUGCAGUGUAAAAGCAUGUCGAGAAACCCCGAGGAGAAUCUGCUGAUCAGUAGUGGUGAUGUAUUUUCUUCCUUUAAGGGAGUGAUAAAAACCCAGCUUCAUUGCAGAGAAACAUUGUUGGACAUUUUCUUUUUCCAGAAAACUAAAGCUACAUGGCUUUGAUUGACUAGCCUGAGAAGGAUUUCACAAUAUUUCUGUGUGAAGUAUACUCAAACAAAAAACCCACUGAAAACCUGAAAGGCGAACGCUUGUCAGUAUGAUGUUUUAGUGGUUUGACCCUUAAACUUUGUAGAUGGGAGUCUGAAUCCCCCACUGCUUAGUUUGCAGAGUUCGCUGUGGUCUGUCCCACUUUUAAGGUUAACCUUCAAGGUGUGAGGGAUUCCCAGCCACAUAUUUUUUUAAUUUAUCAGUACCACUCGCUCUGCUAAAGGGUGGUCUUUCACAUCGCCUUCGCUUGUGGGUUUGCGCGCCUACAUGUGGUGUGAUCAUUGUUUCGUUUCUUCACAGUCUUGCCCUCUAAUGCUGUCGUCCCUAUCACCAUCUUCCCCUCUUGAUCUUUCUCUACAAUAAAUGGUUUUCACAUUGUCUGGACUUUUUUUGGCUUUAAGACAGCAGAGGUCCUGAGUUGGUGGUUUUUAGGUGACAUUUUAUCUUCUGUUUGAUGGGAAUUCAGAUGUGUGAAGCCCCCCCCCCC